UUGUCCAUGAAGUUGCAUGUAAAUAAACUUCUUUCACUUUAUAUUAUGAUUAAAAGUUUGAGAUUCUAACCAGAUUUUUGAAAUUGGAGACUGAAGAAUUCUCAUUUCAGGAAUGGACCAAAUAAUUGUUGUAACUCACAGAUUAAUAGUGAUGACUGAGUCGAAAACCUUUCCUUCUGAAGAUAUCGUUACGGAGAGCGAAACUAGUGACUGGCAAGUCUGUACAUAGAUUUUAUUGCUGAGGUGACCCGCCGCAUUGUUUUGUGGAGGACACUACUUCAGCCUUCUUUGUUUAGAGUCUUUUAUUUCUUUCCUUGGAUUUGCAUAGCCGACAGUUGAAGUCAUGGAAUUCUAUUAAAUGCUCCAUGGUAUUAAUAAGGAAUUUGGGGUGGAUAAAUAGUUUUCAAGUAAUUGUUGAAUUAUUAUAUUGAUUAUCAAAUCUUGGUUUA